CCUUCUUUUUUUCAGGUUGAGUAAUAGUAGAAUGGUAAAUUGUAGUGGGUGAUCCAGCUCUAUAAUUUUAAAAAGUUUAUUUUUUAAGAUAUGGUCUCAUUACUGAAAUUAGAGUCUCUGUAGAAUGGGGAAGCUUUGAAGGACCCAUUCAUAGGGUCAAUAAAAAACAAUGGGCCACUGAUAUCUCUACAUCUUUUAUAGACAAACAGAAAAAAUAGGGACUAUCAUAAAAUAUAUAUGUAUGUGUGUAUAUAUAUAUAUAUAUGUAUAUAUAUAGGUUAAUCAUAUCUCUAAAGUACUUUAAAGAAAGCUAUAUAGAGUAAAGCUUAUCAUUUGCAGCUGUUAAAGAGGAAUGCCUGCAAUGUGAGCAGCCCAGUUUGAAGAUAAUGGAUUUAUGAGUUGCAGGAAGCAAAAUGUGUGAUCGCUUGGGCCAGAAUCUGUUAAGUAUCAUGUUGCUAUUUCUCCCCUUUCUUCCCCAUCUUAGGUCACAUCUCAAAUAUGAACAUCACCCAGAGGUUACCCAGGUGAUCCCAGGCCAUCUCGGGAUGUCCUCCACAUUCCACAAUUCAGUAGCCAAAGGAUUGAACUGAUACCUGCAGAAGACUUCCUGGAUUCCCUCUCCAAGACCCACAAUCCACUAUGAUUGGAUAAGGCCUACCCUCUAAUUGAUCAGUACUACACACACACACACACACACACACACACACACUCACUCACCAAGGCUUGGUUUCCUUUUCUAAAAAACAAAAGAGGGUAAAGGAAUGCCCUCCCAAGUCUCUUUCUAAAAUUUUCAAGUUCUACAGGCUCAGUAGGCAUCCAGCCUCUCAGCACUACCCUAUGUCCCCUAUGCCCACGUAGAUAAACUUGUUUUAAUAAAAGCUAACUUCCGAUUUAGCACACAGUAUUAAGAAUUAAAGUUGGAUGAAGCUAUUACUGUUACGAAUAGCCUUGGGCUAUUUUUCAAUUCACCUAUGUCAUACGUCAAGUGAUUAAGAAAAUCAAAUGCUGUAUCCAGGAAAAUAGAACAUGAAAAGGCAGGAAUAAUGUGUGUCUUUAGGACACCCAUUUGAACACAAAAGAAUUAGGGCCCAAAUUUCACUAUAUGUCAAAUGUGAAUUUAUUUCUAUAAAAGGCUUCAGAACUCUCUAAGCUUUGCAUUGUCUGAAGAGUGCUACAGAGCCAUCUGUGACUUGUAGUGGUUGCAUCCAGAUCUUUGAAAAUGCUUUUUCUUCUUAAUCAAGUUAGGAUAUUGGAUUUCCAGAAGAGUAGGAUCUCUAUAUUUUGAUACUCGCCUGAUUUCUUAAAGCUCCUAAAGGUGCCUUUUGACUUCCUAACUGAUUCUAACAAACACAUGGCUUCAGUCUAUCUGGCUUCCCCUUUGUCUAAGAACACUGACAUUAGGAGUUGCCAAUUGGCACCUCUAUGUGGACACCUUCCACCCAGAAACCAUGUUGAGUUUUCAGGUUUCACAAUGAUGCUGAUUUGAGUCAGCACUGUUGGAAAUGAGGGUCUUUUUAAAAAUGCUUCAGAUUCCCAGUUAUUCCUACCUUUGUCUCUUCAGUCCUCAACAUCCUCUGGGGCAAAACUAGAGAGCUGCACUGUUUCUGUGUGAGGUGAACCUGCGUCCACAGAGGAGCAGCACUCACGUUCCCCACUCAAGACCUGUGUAAUUUAUUUGUAGCAAAGCUCCAUCCUUAAUUCACUAUUAUCUUGUCUUUCUGGCAUCCUCCUUCCCUCUGUGCUAUGCAUGUUGGGGUCGGUGAGGGGAGCAAUGACCCAGAGAGGGGCAUCUUUUGCAUGGCAAAGUCCUUUGGAUGAGCUGAGGAUUCCCAUCUUGACUGAAGUUUUCCAGUUUUUAAAUCUCAUCUUUCAUUUUGUGAUGCUUGAUAAAGAUAGCAAAGUAAUAUGAGUUAGUAAAUGUUAACACGUGCCGCAAAUACAAAAGCAGUUUAUUCUGUCAUUGAUAAUGGAGGAAAAUAUGCAAUAAUAGUAUUGAAUUUGCACUCAUAGGUAAAAGCCUUCAUUGCAAAGCAAAAUCUGAUUUUUGUUUGUGACCAGCAUGAAUGCUGACCUCUGCCCUUUGAAUGAUCUUUCCGUCUCCCGGAAAGUUCAUGAAAAGGUCAUGGAGCUGCGCUGACUUCCUCUGUGUGUGCAUGGACGUGUCUUUGCUAUUGAUCCAGGAAAAGACCAUUCUGUGGUUUUGUUCAUUUUAUUUUUAAUGGAAACCUAAUCAGUAAUUAUAAAAUGUUUCUAGAAGAAUUCACGCCUGAGUAAGUGAAGAAAGCUAACCUCAUUUCAUGCUGAUUAUUUAACCUUGGUCAUAACUCCCAAUUAAAUGCAUUUCUUGAACCCGUAACAAAGCAAAAUAUGGCACUUACUGGUCAGAAAUUCAAAGCAGGAGAGAGAAAAAAUGGCUUAAUAGCUGGAAAUAAAAACAUCAGUGAAUUUUUCUUAUGGAUUCCUUCAUGUCAAAUUCAUAUCAUGAGUGACUCGCAGUUUUCCCUUUAGAUCAUCUUGGCAUCAUCGAGGAGCAAAAAUAAAAAUGAUUUCUAGUAUA